UAUUAACAAAGUCUGUUGAAAGCAUCAACUAUCUUGGGAAAUGUCGUCUCCAGAUUUGAGUCAUGUUUUAGUGUAAUGUUUAAUCUUAUGUGAGGAUGUUGGAGAAACUACAGCAGGACACUAAGGAAUGAAGGUCAAAACCACAAAUGCAGGGAGCUAGAUGUAUCAUUAACUUUUUAAAUAUACUGAGUUAUAAGGUCAAAAAAUUACAGACAGAACUUCCAGCUUCUGCUGAUGGUGUAGGCAUCUGGAAAAUGUGUCUUUAUUAAAAUUACAUUUAAAAACGAGUGAUAUUCAGGGUCAUGACUUUCUGAACCCAUCAGAGAGCUGAAUUGCAGGGCAAUUAAAUAGUUUAAAAUGAAGGAAAGAGAGGUGCCUCCUACAAUAACAGAGAUGGGCUGCAAACAUUGGAUGACCUGUGGCAGAGCACGGAAAGAAGGCAAGGAUGACAGCUACAUGCAGACAAGGUCUCCAGAUUUGCCACCCAUGCUGAGUGCCGUGGUGUGAUCAUGGCUUAUUUCAACCUCAACCUCCCCCACUCAAGCGAUCCUCCUGCCUCAGCCUCUGGAGUAGCUGGGACUACAGGCACGCACCACCACACCCAGCCAUAAUUUGCCUCUUGCUGUAACUAAAAGGUCACAAAAACAAAGAAUUCUAAAAAAUCUUCUUCUUAAGUGUGCCUCACUACCACAAAUUAUGCAGUCAAGUCUCCCAUAUUUGGGGACAUCGCAGGGGUCAGCAUGUCCAGAGUGCAAUGGAUAAGCCUUGCCCUGGGAAAACCACCUUCGUGAUCAUGGUUAUCUCCCCUGCCAGAAAGAGAUUUAAAAGAACACCUGAAGGGAAAUAAGAAGAGAAACAGAAUAUGAAGAGGAUUCAACCAAAUAGAGCCAAUGAAGGAGACAGAGCAACUUAAAUAAUAAGAGCAAUUUUAAAAAAUGGGACAAAAAGGAAAGGAUACUCAGUGCAUAGUUGAUGGCUUAAGAAAAUAAGAUUUUUUUAUAUUAUACUUUAAGUUCUAGGGUACAUGUACACAACA
rnacentral:lncRNA from 1 species